rnacentral:tRNA from 1 species
GGAAGGAUGGCCGAGAGGUCCAAGGCGCCGCCCCGCUAAGGCGGACCGGCUCACACCCGGCGAGGGUUCGAAUCCCUCUCCUUCCGC